UGCCUCCUGCCGUCGUGAGCACGAGCAGGGCCAGGCCUGAGGCCGCGGCCAACGACGAGGUCAGCGCGCUCAGAGAACAGGCGUCCCUGGCCGCCCGGCCGACUGAGGGCACAGCAGAGCUGAGGGGAAGGCCUCGGCCCCCGUGGCGGCGGCGGCGACAAACAGGCGCGGCCUGGGGAAGGGGAGUUUCAGGGGAGACCACGCUCCAAGGACGGCGGGAGCCAGCGCGGCCCUACCUGCCCCUCCGGGAGAACGCAGAGGAGACGGCCCUGUUCGGAAGCCCCGGGCUCCUGGAUGCCAUCUGCACACGCCUCUCGUCUCUUCAGAGUCACUCGGCCUCUCCAGCGUGUCCAGAGCAGCUGCCAUAGCUGCACGUGGCAGCCACUUACGGAGAACCUGGUAUGACUUACCCGCCGGCAUUAUUAGCUCGUCUGAGACCUCUCAGCUUUGAGCGCUAACGAGGAGGGAGGAAUUGCUUCAUCCGUCUUGGGGGAGCAUCGAGGCCAUGCAGCCAACAAUCCAAGGGGCUGAUAACUGUACUGGCUUCUCAGAGAUACUGUGCAAUUUGAGAGACACGCGCUGAGGAAACAGGCCAGGACCCAGAAGACGAGUGGAGAGGAUUGGCUCCAUCCCCGAGUCUGAGUCCACUGAGUCACUACACCAGGGCUCACACAGCAGUCCACAGGCUCCCACAAAGCAGUAUUUUCAAAUCCUGCAUUUUUUAUUAUAGAGACUUCUUACUCCUGUAAAAGUUCAAUUUGCUUUGGGGCGUCUGGGUGGCUCAGUGGUUGAGCAUCUGCCUUCGGCUCAGGGCAUGGUCCCGGGGUCCUGGGAUUGAGUCCCGACAGGGCCCCUGCUUCUCCCUCUGCCUGUGUCUCUGUA